rnacentral:rRNA from 1 species
UAGAGUUUGAUUCUGGCUCAGGACGAACGCUGGCGGCGUGCUUAACGCAUGCAAGUCGAGCGGUAAGGCCCUUUCGGGGGUACACGAGCGGCGAACGGGUGAGUAACACGUGGGUGACCUGCCUUUAGCUCUGGGAUAAGCCUGGGAAACUGGGUCUAAUACCGGAUAUGACUCCAUAGUGCAUGCUUGUGGGGUGGAAAGCCUUGUGCGGCUAGGGAUGGGCCCGCGGCCUAUCAGCUUGUUGGUGGGGUGAUGGCCUACCAAGGCGACGACGGGUAGCCGGCCUGAGAGGGCGACCGGCCACACUGGGACUGAGACACGGCCCAGACUCCUACGGGAGGCAGCAGUGGGGAAUCUUGCGCAAUGGGCGAAAGCCUGACGCAGCGACGCCGCGUGAGGGAUGACGGCCUUCGGGUUGUAAACCUCUUUCAGCUCCGACGAAGCGGAAGUGACGGUAGGAGCAGAAGAAGCACCGGCCAACUACGUGCCAGCAGCCGCGGUAAUACGUAGGGUGCGAGCGUUGUCCGGAUUUAUUGGGCGUAAAGAGCUCGUAGGUGGCUUGUCGCGUCGGUCGUGAAAUCUUACAGCUUAACUGUGAGCUUGCGAUCGGUACGGGCGAGCUUGAGUGCGGUAGGGGAGACUGGAAUUCCUGGUGUAGCGGUGGAAUGCGCAGAUAUCAGGGGGAACACUGGUGGCGAAGGCGGGUCUCUGGGCCGAUACUGACGCUGAGGAGCGAAAGCGUGGGGAGCGAACAGGAUUAGAUACCCUGGUAGUCCACGCCGUAAACGUUGGGCGCUAGGUGUGGGAUCCCUUCCACGGGUUCCGUGCCGCAGCUAACGCAUUAAGCGCCCCGCCUGGGGAGUACGGCCGCAAGGCUAAAACUCAAAUGAAUUGACGGGG